rnacentral:lncRNA from 1 species
CUUCCCGUUACUUUCGAUUCCUGUCACCAGGGGCCUCUCUGUGAAGUGUUUCAAACAUGGCGUCCCCCAGUAGCACCAGCACUCUGCGCGACUCGCAUGACAAUUCACCGUGGUUUUUGUUCCAGGAAAGGCUAGACCACCUGUCCAGCCAGCUUGUUCGGCGAGUGGCUGGGUACGUAGCUGGCUGAAAAUGCUGCCUGUGCACAUAGUUGAGAGCACAAGCAAGGCAGCAGUACAUGCAUUAUAAAUUGUUAAGAUAUAAGGUUACAGACUUGCAAAUCACUGAUCACCUUGGUUCAAUUAGUAAUUACAGUUGGUACUACUGUGAAGCUGAACCCAUUUUGCAGCCAAGUCUGACAAAUUGAAAAAAUUUAAAAGAUGAAAUCUUCAACAUGCACUUACAUUAGUCUAUUUUUUCUCCUCUCUGAGCAACAUGCUAGUGUGAGCCUUUCAACUAUAAUACUAUUAGUGGUUGCUUCUCACUGGUGUUGAGCAAUUUUGUUUUUGGUGUGGAAGACUAAGCCUUUUUCUUUUGGUUGCAUUGUGUAUUGCAGUUUUUACCAUGUCACCCAAGAAGUAGAGUAAUUACUGUUUAAGAAUAGACAUACUGAGAUGCAUAUAUACAUUGUUGAAUGUAAUUUCUGGUUGUGCAAUAAAAAUGCAUCUUUUUCAUAAAAGAA